UAACCAAUAACAUCUUUCUCUUAAAUUACGUGAUGCGGUCCCAACGUCCUUUUUAAUGGCCCCUCAUAUCGUUAAGACCCGUGUGAAUGUUUUAAAAUUAUUCAUAGUCGGACCAGUUCCAUACAUGUAUAACUAAGGCAUACUGGUAUUCUUAAUACAACAUGUUGGGAAACAUGUCUUGUAUGCAUUUACAGUCAGCCAAAUAUUUAAUUUAAAGCAAUUCAAAUUUAAUCCAUUAAAACUAGGCGAAAUAAAA
rnacentral:lncRNA from 1 species